CCCUUAGAUGUUCUGGGCCGCACGCGCGCUACACUGGUGCAUUCAACGAGUCUAAAACCUGCUCUGAUAGGGGUGGGUAAUCUUUUGAAUGUGCAUCGUGAUUGGGAUAGAUGAUUGCAAUUUUUCAUCUUCAACGAGGAAUACCUAGUAAACGCAAGUCAUCAGCUUGCAUUGAUUACGUCCCUGCCCUUUGUACACACCGCCCGUCGCUCCUACCGAUUGAAUGAUCCGAUGAAUAUCAUGGAUUGAGGAUGCAAGCAGGUUCGCCUGUCUUCAUCUUCGAGAAGUGAAGUAAAUCUUAUCAUUUAGAGGAAGGAGAAGUCGUAACA
rnacentral:rRNA from 1 species